GAUGAACGCUAGCUACAGGCUUAACACAUGCAAGUCGAGGGGCAGCGGGAUUGAAGCUUGCUUCAAUUGCCGGCGACCGGCGCACGGGUGAGUAACGCGUAUCCAACCUUCCGUACACUCAGGGAUAGCCUUUCGAAAGAAAGAUUAAUACCUGAUGGUAUGAUGAGAUCGCAUGGUAUCAUCAUUAAAGAUUUAUCGGUGUACGAUGGGGAUGCGUUCCAUUAGGUAGUAGGCGGGGUAACGGCCCACCUAGCCUACGAUGGAUAGGGGUUCUGAGAGGAAGGUCCCCCCACAUUGGAACUGAGACACGGUCCAAACUCCUACGGGAGGCAGCAGUGAGGAAUAUUGGUCAAUGGACGAGAGUCUGAACCAGCCAAGUAGCGUGAAGGAUGACUGCCCUAUGGGUUGUAAACUUCUUUUAUACGGGAAUAAAGUGAGGCACGUGUGCCUUUUUGUAUUGUACCGUAUGAAUAAGGAUCGGCUAACUCCGUGCCAGCAG
rnacentral:rRNA from 1 species